AGCAGCCGCGGUAAUUCCAGCUCCAAUAGUGUAUAUUAAAGUUGUUGCAGUUAAAAGCUGUAGUUGAAUUUUCGGGUCAGCAGGUUGGUCGUGCCACUGGUAUGCACUGGUUUUUCGCGAUUCCUCCUUUUUCUGAAGAACUGUAAUGCCAUUUAAUUUGAUGUUGCAGGGAAACAGACUGUUUACUUUUGAAAAAAUUAGAGUGUUUAAAGCAGGCUAACGCUUGAAUACAUUAGAUGGAAUAAUGAAAUAGGG
rnacentral:rRNA from 1 species